rnacentral:lncRNA from 10 species
UUGGGGAUAUUUAUUUAUCAGGAAGAAAGAAUUAUUGGUGGGGACAGGGGAUUGAAAUUUUGAGGGAGAAAAGGAUUCACAGAGAAAAACAGAUUCUUGAGGAGACAGAAUUGCCUGCACAAUUUCUAGUGAAUACUUCCUUAAUGGAUUUGGAGCCUCUCAGCUUUCACAUUUGCAGAAAGGUCAGAGAAAGAAUGACUGUAACACCUACUGUCUAUUGGAAAGAGAAGGAGAGCAGGAGAGAGUGAUGGCAGAAAGAGGAGCGAGAGAGAGAGUGAGCGAGCUAUAGAACUUCCGGACAUUUCAACUUUAUUAUUUCAAGUGUAACACCAAUUGUUGAGGAGAAAAUUAGCAUGCAGUGGCUUGGGGUCAAUCAGGCCUAUCUUGAAUUAUCUGUUUCUGUAAAAAUGAGGGGAAAAUGAGAUGUAGGUCUCUGUGAGGAUUAGGAGUGGAAAUUACGUAAGAUAACAUAAACAUUGUAUGUGAAACUUCUUAAUAGCAGAGUACAUUGUAGGGGGAUCAAUAGGCAUUGAUUUGUAGAUAUUAAUAGAUACUUUUUCAUAAUUUUAAACUCUGUUUUUCUAAGUCCAUGAUUAAAAAUAUUUUCCAGCAUAU